rnacentral:rRNA from 1 species
AACGAACGCUGGCGGCAGGCUUAAUACAUGCAAGUCGAACGCCCCGCAAGGGGAGUGGCGCACGGGUGAGUAACGCGUGGAUAUCUGCCUUUUGGUUCGGAAUAACCCCGGGAAACUGGGGCUAAUACCGGAUGGUUCCUACGGGAUAAAGAUUUAUCGCCAAAAGAUGAGUCCGCGUACGAUUAGCUAGUUGGUGAGGUAAUGGCUCACCAAGGCGACGAUCGUUAGCUGGUCUGAGAGGACGAUCAGCCACACUGGGACUGAGACACGGCCCAGACUCCUACGGGAGGCAGCAGUGGGGAAUAUUGGACAAUGGGGGCAACCCUGAUCCAGCCAUGCCGCGUGAGUGAUGAAGGCCUUCGGGUUGUAAAGCUCUUUUGGCGGGGACGAUGAUGACGGUACCCGCAGAAUAAGCCCCGGCUAACUUCGUG